rnacentral:misc_RNA from 1 species
GAUGAAGAACGUAGCGAAAUGCGAUACGUAAUGUGAAUUGCAGAAUUCAGUGAAUCAUCGAAUCUUUGAACGCAUAUUGCGCUCUCUGGUAUUCCGGAGAGCAUGCUUGUUUGAGUAUCAGUAAACACCUCAACUCCCUUUUCUUUUUUGAAAUGGGAGCUGGACUUGAGUGAUCCCAACACUUUUCUCACUGGAAAGUGGCGGGUCACUUGAAAUGCAGGUGCAGCUGGACUUUUCUCUGAGCUAUAAGCAUAUCUAUUUAGUCUGCCUAAAAAACAGAUUAUUACCUUUGCUGCAGCUAACAUAAAGGAGAUGAGUUCUUGUGCUGACUGAUGCAGGAUUCACAGAGACAGCUUUGCGGCUGACUUUGUAAUCUCGAUCUCAAAUCAAGUAAGACUACCCGCUGAACUUAAGCAUAUCAAUAAGCGAGGA